rnacentral:rRNA from 1 species
UACGUAGGGUGCAAGCGUUGUCCGGAAUUAUUGGGCGUAAAGAGCUCGUAGGCGGUUUGUCGCGUCUGCUGUGAAAACUCGGGGCUUAACUCCGGGCCUGCAGUGGGUACGGGCAGACUAGAGUGCGGUAGGGGAGACUGGAAUUCCUGGUGUAGCGGUGAAAUGCGCAGAUAUCAGGAGGAACACCGGCGGCGAAGGCGGCCCUCUGGAUCGUUGCUGACGCUGAGACGCGAAAGCGUGGGGAGCAAACAGG